rnacentral:rRNA from 1 species
GUGUCAGCCGCCGCGGUAAUACGGAGGGUGCGAGCGUUAAUCGGAAUUACUGGGCGUAAAGCGCGCGUAGGCGGCCAACGAAGUCGGUUGUGAAAGCCCCGGGCUCAACCUGGGAAUGGCAGUCGAUACUGGUUGGCUGGAGUAUGGGAGAGGACAGUGGAAUUCCAGGUGUAGCGGUGAAAUGCGUAGAGAUCUGGAGGAACAUCAGUGGCGAAGGCGACUGUCUGGCCUGAUACUGACGCUGAGGUGCGAAAGCGUGGGGAGCAAACAGGAUUAGAUACCCUCGUAGUCC